AGUGAACGCUGGCGGUAGGCCUAACACAUGCAAGUCGAACGGCAGCACAGUAAGAGCUUGCUCUUACGGGUGGCGAGUGGCGGACGGGUGAGGAAUACAUCGGAAUCUACUUUUUCGUGUGGGUUAACGUAGGGAAACUUACGCUCAUACCGCAUACGACCCUCCGUUGAAAGCAGGGGAUCUUCUGACCUUGCGCGAUUGGAUGAGCCGAUGUCGGAUUAGCUAGUUGGCGGGGUAAUGGCCCACCAAGGCGGCGAUCCGUAGCUGGUGUGAGAGAAUGGUCGGCCACACUGGAAGUGAGACAGCGUCAAGAGUACUAAGGGAGGCAGCAGUGUGGAAUGGUAGACAGUGGGCGCGAGUAUGAUCCAGUGAGAGCGCGUGGGUGAAAGAGGCGUUGGGGUUGUGAAGACGGUUUGCGGGGAGAGAACAGCAGUAGGUUAAUACGCAGCGGUUCUGACGGUACUGAAUGAAGAAGCACCGGCUAACUUCGUG
rnacentral:rRNA from 1 species